UCUCCGUAGGUGAACCUGCGGAGGGAUCAUUACAGAGUUCUCGCCCUCGCGGGUAGAUCUCCCACCCACUGUUAUCGUUACUGUGUUGCUUUGGCGGGCCGCCGGGCCCCGCUCGGCCGCCGGCUCCGGCUGGCGCGCGCCCGCCAGAGGCCCAGCAAACUCUGAAUGUUAGUGUCGUCUGAGUACUAUAUAAUAGUUAAAACUUUCAACAACGGAUCUCUUGGUUCUGGCAUCGAUGAAGAACACAGC
rnacentral:misc_RNA from 1 species